GAGUGUAUAGCUCAAGUGGUAGAGUGCAUGCCUAGCAUGCCUGAGGUACUGGGUUCAACCCCCAGUAUCUCCA
rnacentral:tRNA from 1 species